CACAAUGUGUUCUCUUUUCACUUCUCUGCCAGGCUGAUAUAGACCAGGUCUGAUCUAGUGGGCUCUUCCUCUACUCCUCUUCCCAGGUCUGAUCUAGUGGGCUCUUCCUCUACUCCUCUUCCCAGGUCUGAUCUAGUGGGCUCUUCCUCUACUCCUCUUCCCAGGUCUGAUCUAGUGGGCUCUUCCUCUACUCCUCUUCCCAGGUCUGAUCUAGUGGGCUCUUCCUCUACUCCUCUUCCCAGGUCUGAUCUAGUGGGCUCUUCCUCUACUCCUCUUCCCAGGUCUGAUCUAGUGGGCUCUUCCUCUACUCCUCUUCCCAGGUCUGAUCUAGUGGGCUCUUCCUCUACUCCUCUUCCCAGGUCUGAUCUAGUGGGCUCUUCCUCUACUCCUCUUCCCAGGUCUGAUCUAGUGGGCUCUUCCUCUACUCCUCUUCCCAGGUCUGAUCUAGUGGGCUCUUCCUCUACUCCUCUUCCCAGGUCUGAUCUAGUGGGCUCUUCCUCUACUCCUCUUCCCAGGUCUGAUCUAGUGGGCUCUUCCUCUACUCCUCUUCCCAGGUCUGAUCUAGUGGGCUCUUCCUCUACUCCUCUUCCCAGGUCUGAUCUAGUGGGCUCUUCCUCUACUCGUCUUCCCAGGUUAUGAUCUAGUGGGCUCUUCCUCUACUCCUCUUCCCAGGUCUGAUCUAGUGGGCUCUUCCUCUACUCCUCUUCCCAGGUCUGAUCUAGUGGGCUCUUCCUCUACUCCUCUUCCCAGGUCUGAUCUAGUGGGCUCUUCCUCUACUCCUCUUCCCAGGUCUGAUCUAGUGGGCUCUUCCUCUACUCCUCCUCCCAGGCUGAUAUAGACGAGGUCUGAUCUAGUGGGCUCUGUCUCUGUUCCUCUUCCCAGGCUGAUAUAGACAAGGUCUGAUCUAGUGGGCUCUUCCUCUGCUCCUCUUCCCAGGCUGAUAUAGACGACGUCUGAUCUAGUGGGCUCUUCCUCUUCCCAGGCUGAUAUAGACAAGGUCUGAUCUAGUGGGCUCUUCCUCUUCCCAGGCUGAUAUUGACGAGGUCUGAUCUAGUGGGCUCUUCCUCUUCCCAGGCUGAUAUAGACGAGGUCUGAUCUAGUGGGCACUUCCUCUACUCCUCUUCCCAGGUCUGAUCUAGUGGGCUCUUCCUCUUCCCAGGCUGAUAUAGACGAGGUCUGAUCUAGUGGGCACUUCCUCUACUCCUCUUCCCAGGUCUGAUCUAGUGGGCUCUUCCUCUUCCCAGGCUGAUAUAGACGAGGUCUGAUCUAGUGGGCUCUUCCUCUACUCCUCUUCCCAGGCUGAUAUAGACGAGGUCUGAUCUAGUGGGCUCUUCCUCUGCUCCUCUUCCCAGGCUGAUAUAGACGAGGUCUGAUCUAGUGGGCUCUUCCUCUGCUCCUCUUCCCAGGCUGAUAUAGACGAGGUCUGAUCUAGUGGGCUCUUCCUCUACUCCUCUUCCCAGGCUGAUAUAGACGAGGUCUGAUCUAGUGGGCUCUUCCUCUACUCCUCUUCCCAGGCUGAUAUAGACGAGGUCUGAUCUAGUGGGCUCUUCCUCUGCUCCUCUUCCCAGGCUGAUAUAGACGAGGUCUGAUCUAGUGGGCUCUUCCUCUGCUCCUCUUCCCAGGCUGAUAUAGACGAGGUCUGAUCUAGUGGGCUCUUCCUCUACUCCUCUUCCCAGGCUGAUAUAGACGAGGUCUGAUCUAGUGGGCUCUUCCUCUACUCCUCUUCCCAGGCUGAUAUAGACGAGGUCUGAUCUAGUGGGCUCUUCCUCUACUCCUCUUCCCAGGCUGAUAUAGACGAGAUCUAGUGGGCUGCCAAUCUGACAGCAGGGUUUAGUUGAAAACACAUUCACAGAAUAGCAUCAUCUCCCUCACACAAAAAAUAUCGAACACCGCUCUGGAAAAUCAAUUAGAGACAUGAAGACAGAUUUCUGCACCUCCCUCCAUCACUACAUACCUAUUCUACUCGCUCCUAUUUCCCUCUCUCCUUCUAUUUCUCUCUCUCUCCUAUUUCUCUCUCUCUCUCUCCUUCUAUUUCCCUCUCUCUCCUAUUUCUCUCUCUCUCUCUCCUAUUUCUCUCUCUCUCUCUCCUUCUAUUUCCCUCUCUCUCUCUCUCUUUCUCUCCUCUCUCUCUCCCCUAUU